UUCUCAAAGUGUCUGGUUGCAGUGGUACACACCUGUAACCCCAGCACUUGGGAGGCUGAGGCAGGAGGAU
rnacentral:miRNA from 1 species